rnacentral:tRNA from 1 species
CGUAGCUCAGUUGGUAGAGCAACUGACUCUUAAUCAGUGGGUCAAGGGUUCGAGCCCCUUCG